GAAGGUCGGCUGUUCGAAUCUUCUCCUGCCAACCUAGCAGUUCGAAAGCACGAAGUAAAAGUAGAUAAAUAGGUACCACUCCGGCGGGAAGGUAAACGUCAUUUCCAUGCACUGCUCUGGUUCGCAAGAAGCAGCUUAGUCAUGCUGGCCACAUAACCUAGAAGCUGCAUGCCAGCUCCCUUGGCCAAUAAAGCGAGAUGAGCGCCUCAACCCCAGAGUCAUCCGCGACUAGACCUAAUGGUCAGGGGUCCCUUUACCUUUACCAUUUAAAUGAGGGUGCUCCUCCAUAUUACAAGUACCCAUUUUUCUAACUUUUUAAAGGGAAGAGCAUUAGAAAAGAAGCACUAAUUGUUGUGCAGUGAAGUCAAAAACACAGUCUUCACAGUAAAUGAAUGAAACUUUACUGAGGCAAAACAUACUUCUUUACAAACACAUAAUGGAUGGAGAGCAAAGUAAAACAGAAGAUUAGACUAGACUAGGCAGCACACACUGAGCCCAUUGUAUUUAUCCUUUCUGGCUCCAUGUGUCUUCCUGUAAAUGAUACAAUAUUUGUACAAGGAAUGAGUCAUCUAGAGGAUGAGUCAGAGUGAGUCAGCUAGCUGAAUGAGUCUGCACUUUUCAGCAUUUUUCCAACACUUUCUACACUUUACUGCUUCUGCUCUCAAAGACCUUUGUCACAUGACACUAAUCAGCCCCCCCAUGUCUUUAAUAGGGUUGCCAACAUUUACUGGUCGCUGCCACCGCUUGUUUGCCUUUAACAACUGGUUCACUGGGCAGGAUUAGCAAGGUGUUAUAUUGUUUCCCAUACCCUACAAAAAUCUGGUUGAUUUCUGUACCCUGUAUGGCUGUUAAAGGCCCAGGAGCAGGCCCAGCUGGGGGGGGGUCUGCAAGUUAACUGGCAAGCUUAGCCUUUAAAGGUUGCAAUAGAAAAAGAAGAUAUUUAACAGAUACUGGGCACACAGAGUAACAAAGCUGACCCCUAAUUUUCCCUCCCUUCCUCUCUUGAUGAAGCCUCUCCUGUGCCUUCAGAAGCUGCCCAUCAAAAAUCCAGCCAUUGUGUACCACAAGAGAUAUUAUCCCUCUCCAACUAUUUUUACUCAUCUCCUGUGAUUUCUUCCCCCUUUCUCCAUUGACAUAUUUAACUUCUAACCUCUUGGCUUACCUGAACUGUAAACACUUCAAAGCUGACAGGCCUGGACUGUGAGGACUUUGGUAUCUCUCUCAUGUUCCCUCUCCAGUCCUCUUUCUGUAACUCACAGAAACGCACCCUAACUGUCAUCUUCCAAGUGACCUUCUCUGCCUGUCAAUCACUCAACAUUCCAGUCACCCUUCUCCCUCUGAACAUAACCUUCUUUCAGAACAGAUUCAUACAGCCAACCCACACUUAACAUAAGACUACAAUUGUGGCCCUGUCAUCAAUUAAACAAAAUAUAGUCUUGCUUGACAGUCCCCAGGACAAGGAACAUUUCAGAGAGCUAGGUAGUAGAUUCCACCUGGGAAUUUUCUUCCCCAUCCCUUCCUGCUAGAAGUUCCCCUGGGACUGCACAAGUGGAAGGAAGGACACUGGCUUCUACCACCAGUCAAAGGCCACUGGGUAGUUGCAAGCCACCUCAAAGAUUGCUUGCCUGUAAUAAUAUAUAUUUUUUCAAAUAAAACCAUCCAAGGACAAAAGUGAUGUGUGCAUAUUUUGUCUUGAUGGAUCAAAGCAAUGCUUUCUUUCUUAUCCCCUCCCAUUCUCUCCCUCCCCUAUUCUAUCUGGCUUUUUUGAUGAUGAGACUAUUGUUUCUGCUAUUAUUAUUAGCAGCAGCAGCCUUUGGGCUGUAACGUGACAACCUCCUUACAAUUUUAUUAUAUAAGAAAUGCAACAUUAAAAAUAGCUUACAAUCUAAAUCCAACACUGGGGAAAUAACAGGGGAAGGGGAGAGAGGGGGAAAUAUUCACUGGCACAUGUUCAGGCUGAAUUACAAUAUUACAGAGCAAUCAGGGGGACUACCAUCUUUUAGCAUGUACAGCAUUGAGAAAUCUGUGCAUGCUUUAUAAGUGCUUGCUAUGUUACACAGAAAGUGAGGAGGAAUUAAAGAACUUUUAAAGAGGGUGAAAGAGGAGAGCGCAAAAUAUGGUUUGAAGCUCAACAUCAAAAAAACGAAGAUCAUGGCCACUGGUCCCAUCACUUCCUGGCAAAUAGAAAGGGAAGAAAUGGAGGCAGUGAGAGAUUUUACUUUCUUGGGCUCCAUGAUCACUGCAGAUGGUGACAGCAGUCACGAAAUUAAAAGACACCUGCUUCUUGGGAGAAAAGCAAUGACAAACCUAGACAGCAUCUUAAAAAGCAGAGACAUCACCUUGCCAACAAAGGUCCGUAUAGUAAAAGCUGUGGUUUUCCCAGUAGUGAUGUAUGGAAGUGAGAGCUGGACCAUAAAGAAGGCUGAUCGUCGAAGAAUUGAUGCUUUUGAAUUAUGGUGCUGGAGGCGACUCUUGAUAGUCCCAUGGUCUGCAAGAAGAUCAAACCUAUCCAUUCUUAAGGAAAUCAGCCCUGAGUGCUCACUGGAAGGACAGAUCCUGAAGCUGAGACUCCAAUACUUUGGCCACCUCAUGAGAAGAGAAGACUCCCUGGAAAAGACCCUGAUGUUGGGAAAGAUGGAGGGCACAAGGAGAAGGGGAUGACAGAGGAAGAGAUGGUUGGAUAGUAUUCUCGAAGCUACAGCAUGAGUUUGACCAAACUGCAGGAGGCAGUGGAAGACAGAAGUGCCUGUCGUCCAUGGGGUCACGAAGAGUCGGACACGACUAAACGACUAAGCAACAACAUGUUACACAGAUUGAUGGGAUGUCACUGGAUUGCACAUGGCUCUUCUCCAUCUCCUAUCACCAGGGAAAGCCCCUCAGACUUUGAGGGCAGUUCAAGGAGGCAAAUGUAGGGGCAAGAGCCAAGUGGGAUCAAAUAGACUAUCCCCCUUUGGGAGGAAGGGCAGAACAUCAAUUUAAUAAAUAAAUAUUCAGAACUGAGUGAAAGAAAUGUCCCACAUGGGAAACAGAAGCUGCAGGCAUUUAACCUAAAGAAAUAUAAAUUACUAAUGAUUAAGUUGCCAGUAGGGCAAAGCCAUUUGGAAAAAGGCUUUUGUUCUAAUCAGGGCUAAUUGAUCACUAUCCAUUCUUAUGCCUACUUCAGACUCAGUAAUUUGUUACUUCCCUUUCAGACACGUUCCUCAGUGUAUGCAUUUUGAGAGUAAUUUUCUUUUAAAAAGAAGAAGGACAUUCUUCUGGAAACUACAUAGAGUUUUAACAUCCUAGUUUUAACAAUUCUUGCAUCUUGUAACAAUUUCAAGAAUUUACCUGAAUGACAGUUAUUCCAAGAUAUUAUGUUUCCCUUCACUCUAACAGAAACCCACACAUCAUUCCUAAAUGAAAAAAAGCUUCUACUCACAGGAUAAGCUUAGCUGUUCUCCUAAGGUGGAACUCACGGCCAAUUCUACAAAGAUGCAAAAGCUCCAACCACCAAACCACAAACUACUGAUAUGCCCAGAGCUGUUAGUCCGAGGCAUGUGAUUAAAGCUCUGUACAGUCAUUAGUUUCUGUGUAGAAAUGGAAGCACAACGGAGGAGAUUAGGGUUAUAUUCCAAUAUAUGUGCACAGGUUCCCUACGCAUGAUCAGUACUGUGUAAAAAGGGAGGAUAGCAACUACAGUUAGGCUUUUUUUGCAAAUGACACUGGGUGAAGUUAUAGAGAUCGGGGGCAAAACCAGUAAUUGCAAUUCAAUCCCCUCUCCUAUAUGUUACCUUUUAAACAAAGUAUUGAUGAACAAGAUCAAACAGAAUGUAGAAUGCUGGGAUGCUCCAAAUGUAAUAUAGCUCAUUCACCUAGUGAUGCUCAGCACAUAGGUAUACUAGAAUUUUAUGCUUGGCAUUGACAGGAUAUAAACUGAUUCCCUU